rnacentral:rRNA from 1 species
GACGAACGCUGGCGGCGUGCUUAACACAUGCAAGUCGAACGGAAAGGCCCCUUCGGGGGUACUCGAGUGGCGAACGGGUGAGUAACACGCGAGUAACCUGCCCUUGACUUCGGGAUAACUUCAGGAAACUGGGGCUAAUACCGGAUAGGAAUCCUUGCUGCAUGGUGGGGGUUGGAAAGCUUCGGCGGUUUUGGAUGGACUCGCGGCUUAUCAGCUUGUUGGUGGGGUAGUGGCUUACCAAGGCUUUGACGGGUAGCCGGCCUGAGAGGGCGACCGGCCACAUUGGGACUGAGAUACGGCCCAGACUCCUACGGGAGGCAGCAGUGGGGAAUAUUGCACAAUGGGCGGAAGCCUGAUGCAGCAACGCCGCGUGCGGGAUGACGGCCUUCGGGUUGUAAACCGCUUUCAGCAGGGGCGAAGCUUGUGGUGACGGUACCUGCAGAAGAAGCACCGGCUAACUACGU